CCAAUGGAAGAAUGCGUGAAGGUGGUGAGGUGGUGUGUUUGUUUGGAUGGACAAAUGGAUGUGUGCAUGAAUAGCAAUAGUGUGGAGCUGUUGUUUGAGAACAUGAGAGGAGAUGGAAGAAUAUGAGUGGGUGGAGAGGAAAUGGGGUUAAAUAAUGCACGAACCCCUGAAAGUUGGACCAAAUAAUUGAAGGGGUGGAAAGAAGUGGCUCUGUCAACACACAUGGGCAAGACUCUCCUUCAGUCUCUCUGCCUUAUGGGAUACACUUCCAUUUACCCCUGGAUGCCUUGCUUGUGACCCCAGCCUUCUUCUCCAGUUUUUGAGGAUGCACACAUCAUCCUUCCAACCCUUACUUUUCCCCUCACGCGUUUGUUGCUCCUCUUUUUCUGUUGGAUUUUUGUGCUGUAGGACUCAAAUGGGCCUUCACAUUCAAUAAUUUGCCCCAUAUGACUGUGAUUCUAGCAUUUGCCUAGGCUGCUUUCAUUUCUUAUUUUAAAUAUGUUGAAUAGAC
rnacentral:lncRNA from 1 species